rnacentral:rRNA from 1 species
GUACACUCCUACGGGAGGCAGCAGUGGGGAAUUUUGGACAAUGGGGGCAACCCUGAUCCAGCAAUGCCGCGUGAGUGAAGAAGGCCUUCGGGUUGUAAAGCUCUUUUGUCAGGGAAGAAACGGUGGUGGCGAAUAACUACUACUAAUGACGGUACCUGAAGAAUAAGCACCGGCUAACUACGUGCCAGCAGCCGCGGUAAUACGUAGGGUGCAAGCGUUAAUCGGAAUUACUGGGCGUAAAGCGUGCGCAGGCGGUUGUGUAAGUCAGAUGUGAAAUCCCCGGGCUCAACCUGGGAAUUGCAUUUGAGACUGCACGGCUAGAGUGUGUCAGAGGGGGGUAGAAUUCCACGUGUAGCAGUGAAAUGCGUAGAUAUGUGGAGGAAUACCGAUGGCGAAGGCAGCCCCCUGGGAUAACACUGACGCUCAUGCACGAAAGCGUGGGGAGCAAACAGGAUUAGAAACCCGUGUAGUCCCAUGAU